ACCACAGGGAUAUCCCCUCUAACCCAGUCUCUGUUCACACAUGACCAACCCAGUCUACCAUCUACCCGUCUCUGUUCACACAUGACCAACCCAGUCUACCAUCUACCCGUCUCUGUUCACACAUGACCAACCCAGUCUACCAUCUACCAGUCUCUGUUCACACAUGACCAACCCAGUCUACCAUCUACCAGUCUCUGUUCACACAUGACCAACCCAGUCUACCAUCUACCCGUCUCUGUUCACACAUGACCAACCCAGUCUACCAUCUACCAGUCUCUGUUCACACAUGACCAACCCAGUCUACCAUCUACCCGUCUCUGUUCACACAUGACCAACCCAGUCUACUAUCUACCCGUCUCUGUUCACACAUGACCUACCCAAUCUACCAUCUACCCGUCUCUGUUCACACAUGACUAACCCAGUCUACCAUCUACUCGUCUCUGUUCACACAUGACUAACCCAGUCUACCAUCUACCCGUCUCUGUUCACACAUGACCAACCCAGUCUACCAUCUACCCGUCUCUGUUCACACAUGACCAACCCAGUCUACUAUCUACCCGUCUCUGUUCACACAUGACUAACCCAGUCUACCAUCUACCCGUCUCUGUUCACACAUGACCAACCCACUCACGUUAUUCCUCUCCCUCUCUCUGUCUCUCAGGUGAUAGAGCUGUAUAGACUCCUCGUGGUGAUAUCUCUCUCUGGAAUCAGUUUGCAGUGCCAGUGUUGUUCAGUGUGUUCUGGUCUGUGCUGUUUGUGGUCCAGCUGUGUUCUUACUCCAUGACCAACAGUACAACAGGCAGCCAUGAGGGGGUGCUGUUCUUCCUCCUCACAAGUGUCUCUGAGUGCUGUGUGUGUGUUCUCUCCUCAGUGUCUCUGAGUGCUGUGUGUGUGUGUUCUCUCCUCAGUGUCUCUGAGUGCUGUGUGUGUGUGUUCUCUCCUCAGUGUCUCUGAGUGCUGUGUGUGUGUGUUCUCUCCUCAGUGUCUCUGAGUGCUGUGUGUGUGUUCUCUCCUCAGUGUCUCUGAGUGCUGUGUGUGUGUGUUCUCUCCUCAGUGUCUCUGAGUGCUGUGUGUGUGUGUUCUCUCCUCAGUGUCUCUGAGUGCUGUGUCACGCCCUACUCCCUGCUGGGCCUGACGUCGGUGGUGUCUUACCUGGGCCUGGGGCUGCUCAACCUCACCAAGUUCUACCUGGGGGGCUACACUGCAGUACAGAAUGACAACGUCAUGCACAGAGGUGUGACUGAGGGGGUAACGUUGCUGUUGCUGGCUCUUCAGACGGGUCUUUUAGACAUGCAGGCUCUGCAACGCACCUUCCUCCUCAGUAUCAUCCUCUUCAUCGUCGUCACCUCCACUCUGCAGUCCAUGAUAGAGAUCACAGACCCCAUCAUCCUGGCCCUGGGGGCAUCUAGAAACAGGUACAGUCUAACCCCUGGCCCUGGGGGGUGUCUAGAAACAGGUACAGUCUAACCCCAUCAUCCUGGCCCUGGGGGUGUCUAGAAACAGGUACAGUCUAACCCCUGGCCCUGGGGGGUGUCUAGAAACAGGUACAGUCUAACCCCUGGCCCUGGGGGCAUCUAGAAACAGGUACAGUUUAACCCCUGGCACUGGGGGCAUCUAGAAACAGGUACAGUCUAACCCCUGGCCCUGGGGGCAUCUAGAAACAGGUACAGUCUAACC